rnacentral:rRNA from 1 species
CGCGUAGGCGGUCUCUAAAGUCAGAUGUGAAAGCCCGGGGCUCAACCCCGGAAGUGCAUUUGAAACUGAGAGACUUGAGUAUGGGAGAGGGAAGUGGAAUUCCUGGUGUAGAGGUGAAAUUCGUAGAUAUCAGGAGGAACACCGGUGGCGAAGGCGACUUCCUGGACCAAUACUGACGCUGAGGCGCGAAGGCGUGGGGAGCAAACA